rnacentral:sRNA from 1 species
AGAGCCGCAAGUCAGUCGUGAAGAGGGAGCUCUAUCGCCACCAUGAGUUUCUCCGGCAAGUACCAACUGCAGAGCCAGGAAAACUUUGAAGCCUUCAUGAAGGCAAUCGGUCUGCCAGAAGAGCUCAUCCAGAAGGGGAAGGAUAUCAAGGGGGUGUCGGAAAUCAUGCAGAAUGGGAAGCACUUCAAGUUCACCAUCACCACUGGGUCCAAAGUGAUCCAAAACGAAUUCACCGUGGGGGAGGAAUGUGAGCUGGAGACAAUGACAGGGGAGAAAGUCAAGGUAGGAGGACAUUCCUUCUGCUGAACUUUCCUUGGAACCUGGCCCUGGGACCUCAUUCCUCAAGGCUCAAACCUCACAAUUCCACCCACAGAUACCGUCUCUGAACCCACCUCCCAUGUGGGAGAAGCAGAGAGACAAAGGCAGCUCUUAGGGAAGAAUCUUAUAGGGAAGCUGCUCUCCUCUUCCCAGGGACUGUCUGGGGGGUGUUCCAGCCCCUAAAGUCUGAGCUCUCCCAUAUGGAGGAUAUGGGGGAACCAGGC